AUCAUGUUGGCCAAAGGGCAACGUCCGGUCAUCGGAAGGUUAUCGGAACUUCUCGUUUCCCGCUGCCGUCCGGCCUUCCUCGACACCGGCGCCGCCAGUCCCACUUCCCAUUUCGACUUCUCCCCUUCACCUAGAGCCACUAAUCUAAAAAAUUACUCCGCCGGCGUCGGACUCGGCAUCGUCGCCGCCCUCGAUACCUCUACCUCCGGUGUCCGUGGAUGUGAAAUUUUAGUUAAACACGCCGUUUGUACCCCCAAAUUGAACUCCCCUCGCCGCCCUGCUCCGAUCCCGAUCGGAUUGGUCGGUGGGUCGUUCC
rnacentral:misc_RNA from 1 species